CCUACCUGCUGAACUCUGAUCAUCUUCACUUGGAUCCUAGGGUGGAGAAAACUGGGGAGGGUUCCCCCCAGCAAUAAGCUCAAUAGACUCUCGACCUUCAUCCCUGAUGUCCACCUGCCUGGGGGUACCGGUGUGCAGAUGGGGACUAUAGUAAGGACAUCAGGCUUCUGCGCAGCUCUUGGUUCCCAGUUCAAGCAGGAACAGGGAUGGAAGCCUCUAGAAUUCCCAGUCUGAAAGAACAGCAUCCCCAGCUGUGACUGCUGGAGUUAAGGUCUGAUUUAGAAGCAAGAACAGCCCCAGGUAACUGGCUCUGGCCAAUUUUAUUUUUAAAAUUAACUAACUAGUUAAUAUAUUUUAUGUGUGUGGGUGUUUUCCCUGCAUGUGUAACUGAACAGUAAGUUCAUGCCUGGUGUCCAUAAAGGUUAGAAGAGUGCAUACGAGUUACAGUUGUUAUUCGUCAUAAGGAUGGGAAUUGAACCCAGAUUCUCUGGAAGGGAAGCCACAUUAACUACUGAACUAUCUUCUCCAGGGACACCAAGUUUUUCUUAUUUUCUUUCCUUUUGAGACAGGCUUUGUCUUCAUAACAAUUCUAGCUGUCCUGGAACUAACUCUGUAAACCAGGCUGACCUCAAACUCAGAGAUCUGCCUGCCUCUGCCUCCUGGAUGCUGGGAUUAAAGUGUACCACCACUGCCUGGCUCAACUUUGUUCCCUAAAGAGCCUUCUUAGAGGUAAGUUAAUAGCAGUUAAGGUCCAUCUGUUCAUGCUGCGUGCCAGACUUUGUGCUGAGUGACUGCCAUGCAUCUGAGUCCUCACAAACCCAAAUCAGAGUUAUUCUUUUCAACAGGUUGAAGAAACUCAGGUAACUUGCUAACAAAGGCCAGUGUGGUGAACUGAGGUCUGAGGCCACAUAGGUCCUUUCCUUAAACCACAGGCCUACCCCUAGUAGUUAUGCCCACACCUGCUUCUACCUGGGCUGUCACCAUCCAUUCUCAACUUUGUCUACCAUAAGGGAGGGCAUACUGCAUGACUGUGACACUAUGGCUCUGGCAGCAAUGCCUAGGCCUUCUAUGAGGUCAUAAGCUUCUCUUAUGAGGUGUCAGCUUUCCCACAGCUGGCAUAUUUCCCACAGUUGUCUGUCUGCUAGGGCACAGGCGGCUCCAAAUCCUUCUAGACUGUAAAAUCACCUUUCUUGACCCUGGGCUCUAGAACACAACACCCAGGUCAGGUGUUUUCUUGUUUCAGGUGGUACACAACCCAGGUCUUCUGUUUUCCUCAGACACCAGCAGGUAGAGGAGUUUGUAUUGCUCACCACCAAACCCUAACAUGUAGGUUCUCAGUAACAGUCGAAUGGAUGUGGAGAAUGAGGUCAGAAUGAGAUUAUUAAAUUCCUGACUGUAAAGUAUACAGCAAGUUAUUACUUGGGUGAUGUAAACAUGAACUGUGGACAGUUGUGGCUUUGUUUUCUACAGAUAAAGCACUAUCAAGCUAAAAAAAAAACCUGUAGAAUCCAAAUUAAGGAAGACACCAGUUUAAGACAGAACAUUUCAGAAACUGUCACCUCCACUCCUCAAUCAAAUGUCACCAGACACGUUUAAACUGAGAAAAAAGUUUUAAUGACACAUACACAUACAUUUAGAGAACUUUAAACAAGACAUAGUAUAAAAUCUCAAAGAAAGGAGGGGGAAGAGGAGGAAACAUUGCAUUUACUGCCUAAGAGCUAGUAGAUGAACUGGCUGGCAAAAAUGUCCUGGGACAACCGACCGACACACAGCUGAUGAGGUGUGCCUGCCUGCACCAUCAAGAUUGGCUGAGAGACAAGCCAAGUCAGUUCUCUGAACUCAGCUGCUUAUCAAUGAGUCACUUUUAAAAUGUAAAAAAAUUACUCUUGGUUUAAAGACUCCACACAUUAUUACUGGCCAGUCCCCAUCAACUGUAUCUAUUUUGAUUGAGGGAAAACAAACAAAUAAACAAAAAACCAAAACCAACUAAAAAAAAAUGCUUCAACAGAGCCUGGAUGGUAACACACUAUCUUACUUAUCACUUACUGGGGAUAUAUAUAUAUAUAUUUUUUGUGAAGUCAAAAGCAAGCUACUACUUGCACUCAAAACAACAAAAUGCCGACCUUCCAAAAGGUGACAAAGGCACCACUGCCAUCAGGAGAUAGGACAAAAAAAUGCACAAAUGCUGACUUUAGAGCUACACAGAUGAUUUGUGCACAGAGCCUCUUCAUGUAACGUUAUUACAGAACUGUAUUUUCAGAUAACAGGAAAAGCAGGUUAGGAAAGGCAAACAGUUACACAUAAAGCAUCAACACAAGGACUUUAAUUUUCAGCUUGCAGUAGGGGUAAUAAGUUUGACAUACACAACAAGAAAAUUAGACAAGGUGAUUUUUGGCACAGUAAGAUUGCCAAACACACCACCACUCAGUGCAAGCUUUGUUUGCCAAGUACCAAAUGUGGCCUGACAGUCUUUGUGCAAUGAGCAUUUUCUCCCUCUCUACCAUCCCAUCAUCUGGGCAACAACAGCUGGAGGGAGACAAAGCACGGGGACUCAGAAGGAGAUGGAAAAUACUUGAUUUGGGAGAAAAACCAUGAACUACUUCUGCUAAGUAGAAUCAUAAAUUUCUAUGAGAACCCAAAUGCAAAUACUGACUAUACUAUGACCCGGAGACUGAAGGCUGCUACCAGAGUCAUGAAUACAAGGGCCUAAACUGAUGUCUGGCCAUUUAUUUUAAAGGGAAGGACAAAGUAUUUUUCUCUCAUGGAGAAAGACAAUUGAAAAUAGAUUUUACUCUUAUUGGAACUGCUAAAUAAGAAUGUAUCAAAGUGGUUUUAAAUUUGAUGGGUGGUUAUCAGUUGAAAUUGCAAUAUAAAAGGGUCACUUAAAAACCUGAAUAACCCACUUGUCCCCGUCAAUGUACACAAUAGAAAAUAUUUACACACUGUAAUUACAAGCAAUAUAAGCAGAUUUUUAUAUUUUGAGAUUUUUGUACACUUUACACAAUGCAAAAUGAGAAAAAUAUGAACACUUAUAAAAUUACACACAAAUAAUGUAUCUACAAGGUAUUAAAUUACAGAGUGAAAGCCCCCAUUGUUGGGCAGAUAGAUGCCAGAGUUUCAAGCUUCUGUCAAAUACAACUCUUUGUAUCUAUCUCUUUAACCAUAGUGGCAUUUUGUAACAAUACCCUUGAGAGGUAGCAUCAAGAUACUAUUCUUACCAGUAAACUCAACACUGAAGAAAACUUUUGUUGGUCGGACUCUUGGAGCCUUGAUCAGCCUCAGAACUUGAAAAUUUGAUUUGUUUAUUCCCUGUAAGAUCUCUAACUGCCCAAUGCUUGACAUGAGCUCAAAAGCUACUGCUAUUUUAAAUGAUAAUUUUAUGAUAAGAAUGGUUUUUAUUCCUAAGCCUCAAUUUAGAGGUAGAAAGUUAGCUCUCAGAACUUAUUUUCUCCUCUCAAACCAUAAACAUUGAGCCCAGUUCCCUUUCUAACCCCCAUCUGGACAUCAUCAUGCUCAGGAGGGAACAAGUCACUCAUGCCAGUUUUCAAACAAGCAGCUGGCAUCCAUUUCAGGAAGCAACCCCUCCCCAGACAGGCAAAGGUCUGCGAGAGUGUUACUACCAAAGGUUUCAAAGAGCCUAGGCUCAAUCUAGCGUGUGCACCUCUGCUAACCCUCUACCAUCUAAACUAGAGGAUGGCUUUCCAGUGUUUAAAAGAAUUUAGAGCAGCUGUGGUUUUCAAGUGCAACAACUUCAAGAUACAAACGCUCGGGUGAACACACACACACACACACACACACACACACACACACACACACACACACAGUGUCCCCAAAAUAAACAU